rnacentral:rRNA from 1 species
UACGGAGGGUGCGAGCGUUGUCCGGAAUCACUGGGCGUAAAGGGCGCGUAGGCGGCCUGAUAAGUAGGGGGUGAAAUCCUGCGGCUUAACCGCAGGGCUGCCUUCUAAACUGUCGGGCUAGAGCACGGUAGAGGCAGAUGGAAUUCCCGGUGUAGCGGUGGAAUGCGUAGAGAUCGGGAAGAACAUCAGUGGCGAAGGCAGCUCGCUGGGACGGAACUGACGCUAAGGCGCGAAAGCGUGGGGAGCGAACAGG